UACGUGCCAGCAGCCGCGGUAAUACGUAGGGGGCGAGCGUUGUCCGGAAUUAUUGGGCGUAAAGCGCGCGCAGGCGGUCCUUUAAGUCUGAUGUGAAAGCCCACGGCUCAACCGUGGAGGGUCAUUGGAAACUGGGAGACUUGAGUGCAGAAGAGGAGAGCGGAAUUCCACGUGUAGCGGUGAAAUGCGUAGAGAUGUGGAGGAACACCAGUGGCGAAGGCGGCUCUCUGGUCUGUAACUGACGCUGAGGCGCGAAAGCGUGGGGAGCGAACAGGAUUAGAUACCCUGGUAGUCCACGCCGUAAACGAUGAGUGCUAAGUGUUAGAGGGCUUCCACCCUUUAGUGCUGUAGCUAACGCAUUAAGCACUCCGCCUGGGGAGUACGGCCGCAAGGCUGAAACUCAAAGGAAUUGACGGGGGCCCGCACAAGCGGUGGAGCAUUUGGUUUAAUUCGAAGCAACGCGAAGAACCUUACCAGGUCUUGACAUCCUUCGCUACCUCUAAAGAUAGAGGGUUCCCCUUCGGGGGACGGAGUGACAGGUGGUGCAUGGUUGUCGUCAGCUCGUGUCGUGAGAUGUUGGGUUAAGUCCCGCAACGAGCGCAACCCUUGACCUUAGUUGCCAGCAUUCAGUUGGGCACUCUAAGGUGACUGCCGGUGACAAACCGGAGGAAGGUGGGGAUGACGUCAAAUCAUCAUGCCCCUUAUGACCUGGGCUACACACGUGCUACAAUGGAUGGUACAAAGGGUCGCGAAACCGCGAGGUGGAGCUAAUCCCAAAAAACCAUUCUCAGUUCGGAUUGCAGGCUGCAACUCGCCUGCAUGAAGCCGGAAUCGCUAGUAAUCGCGGAUCAGCAUGCCGCGGUGAAUACGUUCCCGGGCCUUGUACACACCGCCCGUCACACCACGAGAGUUUGCAACACCCGAAGUCGGUGAGGUAACCCUUACGGGAGCCAGCCGCCGAAGGUGGGGCAGAUGAUUGGGGUG
rnacentral:rRNA from 1 species